CCCUUAGAUGUUCUGGGCCGCACGCGCGCUACACUGAUUCAUGCAACAAGUUUUGUCCUUGGCUGAUAGGCCUGGGUAAUCUUUGAACGUGAAUCGUGAUGGGGAUAGAUGAUUGCAAUUAUUCAUCUUCAACGAGGAAUUCCUAGUAAACGCAAGUCAUCAGCUUGCAUUGAUUACGUCCCUGCCCCUUGUACACACCGCCCGUCGCACCUACCGAUUGAAUGGUCCGGUGAAAUCUUCGGAUCUGAGAGAUGUCUGAUUAAUUUCGGACGCCUUUUGGAAAAGUUGCUUAAACCUUACCAUUUAGAGGAAGGUGAAGUCGUAACA
rnacentral:rRNA from 1 species